rnacentral:rRNA from 1 species
GACGAACGCUGGCGGCGUGCUUAAUACAUGCAAGUCAACUUGACUUUAGAUAGCAAUAUCGAAAAGUAGGGUGGCGCACGGGUGCGUAACGCGUAGGUAAUCUGCCCUGAGGUCUGACAUAACCCGUCGAAAGGCGGGCUAACAUCAGAUGAUAUAUAAUCACGACAUCGUGGAAAUAUCAAAUCUUCGGAGCCUUGGGAUGAGCCUGCGUCUGAUUAGGUAGUUGGCGGAGUAAUAGCCCACCAAGCCUACGAUCAGUAGCUGGUCUGAGAGGAUGAUCAGCCACACUGGAACUGAGACACGGUCCAGACUCCUACGGGAGGCAGCAGUAAGGAAUAUUGCUCAAUGGGGGAAACCCUGAAGCAGCAACGCCGCGUGAAGGAUGAAAUACUUUUGUAUGUAAACUUCUGUAAGAUGGGAAAAAUAUUUCUCCUCGGGAGAAUUGAUUGUACCAUCAGAGUAAGCCCCGGCUAACUACGUGCCAGCA